rnacentral:lncRNA from 1 species
UGGGUAUGAUUUUUAGGAUUAGGGGUCUUCAUUUGGAAAGUGUAACAGAUAGUGCUGAAAUAGAGGUAACUGAAAAUGACUUCUGGGCAUUAUGGUUUUGUGUCACAAUUUGGCUUAGGGUUCGGGAUGUCAUGUGAAUCAAGUACGUUGUUAUUGAAGUGUGAGUAGGAUUGACAGAGUUAAGAUUAGUGUUAGGUAAAGUAUGGUAUUUUGUUGCAUAUUCCUGAACAUUGCAGUGAGGCUGUGACGGGAAGUGUUGGGUUCAAGUUCUACCUAGGGUUAGGGUUUGGGUUGGGGUGAUAGUUAGCUUUGAAAUUGAAAUGCCUGUGUCUUCAAGUGUGUGUUGGAAAGUUAGUAUAAGCAUAAGUUCAUCGUGAGGAUUAGGGAUAAUGUAGAAUUUCAAGUACCUGGGUAUUGGAAUUAGGUCUUGCUGCUUAUGGUUAGGGUUAGGAUUAGUUUUAGGUUUAGGGUUCCAAUUCCUAUACCUGACGUAUGGAGUUUGGGUAUCAUUUUUAGAGUGAGGGGUCAUCUUUCGGUAAGUGUCAUGGAUAGUGCAAAAAUAGAGUUAUGAGAAAAUAACUUCUGGGUGUUCCUGUUUGUGUCACAAUUCAGCUUACAUUUAGGGAUGGCACAUGGAUCAAGUACCUGGUAAUUGGAGAGUAAGUGGAAUUGUUAGAGAUAGGAUUAUUGUUAGCUAAAAUAUAGUGUUUUCUUUCAUAUUCCUGAACAUUGCAGUGUGUCUACGAUGGGUAGUAGCAGGGUUAAGGUUCUAUCAAGUGUUAGGUUUAGGUUUGGGGUGAUAGAUAGGGUUGAUAUUGGAAUGCCUGUGUCUUUAAGUGUGGGUUGGAAAGUUAGUAUUAGCGUAAGUUCAUAGUGAGGGUUAGGGAUAUUGUAGAAUUUCGAGAACCUGGGUAUUGGAAUUUAUCCUGCUGCUUAGGGUUAGGGUUAGGAUUAGGUUAACAUUUAGGUUUCCAAUUUAUGUACCUGAAGUUUGAAGUGUGGGUAUAAUUUUUAGGGUUAGAGUUCUUCUUUUCAUAAGUGUCACUGGUAGAGCUGAAAUAGAGGUACCUGAAAAUGACUUCUGGGCAUUAUGGUUUGUGUCACAAUUCUGUUUAGGAUUAGGGAUAGGACGUGGUUAAAGUACCUGUUUAUUGGAGUUUUAGUAGGAUUGUUAGAGCUAGGAUUAGUGUUAGGUAAAGUAUAGUGUUUUGUAACACGUGCCUGAACAUUGCAGUGUGUGUAUGACUUGUAGUAUUAGGCUUAACGAUCUAGCUAGUGUUAGGUAUAGGGUUGGGGUAAUGGAUAGCAUUGAAUUUGAAAGGUCUGUGUCUUCAAGUGUGGGUUUGAAAGUGAGUAUUAGCGUCAGUUCAUGGUGAGGGUUAGGUGUAAUGUAGAAUUUCAAGUACCUGGGUAUUGGAAUGUGGUCCUGCUGCAUAGAUUUAGGGUUAGGAUUACUUUUAGGUUUAGGGUUCCAAUUCAUGUACCUGAGGUUUGGAGUGUGGGUAUGAUUUUUAGGGUUAGGGUGCUUCUUUUCGUAAGGGUCAUGGAUAGUGCAGAAAUAGAGGUACUUGGGGAUGACUUAUUGUUCUGGCAGGGUUAGGGCUAGGGUUAGGGUUAGGGUCAGGGUGAUAGAUAGCAUUGAAAUUGAAAUGCCUGUGUCUUCCAGUGUGGGUUGGAAAGUUAGUAUUAGCGUAAGUUCGUGGGGAGGGGGAGGGAUAAUGUCACAUGUCAAGCACCUGGGUAUUGUGAUUUGGUCCUGCGCCUUAGGGUUAGGGUUAGGGUUAGGAGUAGAUUUAGGUUUAGGGUUCCAAUUCAUGUACCUGACGUUUGGAGUGUGGGUAUGAUUGUUAGGGUUAGGGUUCUUCUUUUCGUAAGGGUCAUGGAUAGUGCAGAAAUAGCGGUACCUGAAGAUGACUUAUUGUUCUGGUAGGGUUAGGGCUAGGGUUAGGGUUAGGGUCAGGGUGAUAGAUAGCAUUGAAAUUGAAAUGCCUGUGUCUUCCAGUGUGGGUUGGAAAGUUAGUAUUAGCGUAAGUUCGUGGGGAGGGGGUGGGAUAAUGUCAAAUGUCAAGCACCUUGGUAUUGUGAUUUGGUACUGCGGUUUUGGGUAAGGGUUAGGAACAGGGUUCGGUUUAGGGUUCCAAUUCAUGUACCUGACAUUUGGAGUGUGGUAUGAUUGUUAGGGUUAGGGUUCUUCUUUUCAUAAGGGUCAUGGAUAGUGCAGAAAUAGCGGUACUUGAGGAUGACUUAUUGUUCUGGUAGGGUUAGGGCUAGGGUUAGGGUUAGGGUCAGGGUGAUAGAUAGCAUUGAAAUUGAAAUGCCUGUGUCUUCCAGUGUGGGUUGGAAAGUUAGUAUUAGCAGAAGUUCGUGGGGAGGGGGAGGGAU